UACGGGGGGGGCAAGCGUUGUUCGGAAUUACUGGGCGUAAAGGGCUCGUAGGCGGCCAACUAAGUCAGACGUGAAAUCCCUCGGCUUAACCGGGGAACUGCGUCUGAUACUGGAUGGCUGGAGGUUGGGAGAGGGAUGCGGAAUUCCAGGUGUAGCGGUGAAAUGCGUAGAUAUCUGGAGGAACACCGGUGGCGAAGGCGGCAUCCUGGACCGGCAUUGACGCGUGAGGCGCGAAAGCCAGGGGAGCAAACGGG
rnacentral:rRNA from 1 species